rnacentral:rRNA from 1 species
CCUACGGGAGGCAGCAGUGAGGAAUAUUGGUCAAUGGACGAGAGUCUGAACCAGCCAAGUAGCGUGAAGGAUGACUGCCCUAUGGGUUGUAAACUUCUUUUAUAUGGGAAUAAAAUGUUCCACGUGUGGGAUUUUGUAUGUACCAUAUGAAUAAGGAUCGGCUAACUCCGUUCCAGCAGCCGCGGUAAUACGGAGGAUCCGAGCGUUAUCCGGAUUUAUUGGGUUUAAAGGGAGCGUAGGUGGAUUGUUAAGUCAGUUGUGAAAGUUUGCGGCUCAACCGUAAAAUUGCAGUUGAAACUGGCAGUCUUGAGUACAGUAGAGGUGGGCGGAAUUCGUGGUGUAGCGGUGAAAUGCUUAGAUAUCACGAAGAACACCGAUUGCGAAGGCAGUUCACUGGACUGCAACUGACACUGAGGCUCGAAAGUGUGGGUAUCAAACAGGAUUAGAUACCCUUGUAGUC